rnacentral:lncRNA from 1 species
CUUACAAUUAUUAUAAACACCGAACUCAGAGGAAAAUUCAAAACGGAAAGUCCGUAAUCAAACGACAAAUCAAAAGCUUCAACACACUCUUGAUGACGUGAAGUAUUUGUUGAUACUAGAGGCAUCACACAACAAAAUUUCCAAACUACUAGAAUAGUAGACUUGUCUUACAAUAAGAUUAAGGAAAUGACAGAUUUGACACCACACUACUAUUAAAUGACUGUACAUGCAUUUUCGUAUGUAGAAAAUGGGGAUUAAACCUGGUUUAAAAGACGCAUAAAACUCCAUUAUAUUGACAACGAUGUGUGAACAAAACAAACAGACAGAAUAGGUUAAAAUAUCAAAAAUAGGGGUACAGCAGUCAACAUUGUAUUAUAAUCUUAAUCCCUAUAAGACAAACAUAUAUGUAACAAAAAAGCACAAAAAUCCAUAAAGACAAAUCCCAUUAGCAAAACAAAAUCCAUAGCACAAUAACACAAUAACGGG